GAGGGUAUAGCUCAGUGGUAGAGUGUAUGCUUAGCAUGCAUAAGAUCCUGGGUUCAAUCUCCAGUACUUCCA
rnacentral:tRNA from 1 species